GACGAACGCUGGCGGCGUGCUUAACACAUGCAAGUCGAACGGAAAGGCCCUGCUUUUGUGGGGUGCUCGAGGGGCGAACGGGUGAGUAACCUGUGAGUAACCUGCCCAGUACGGUGGGAUAACUUCAGGAAACUGGUGCUAAUACAUGAUAGGAGCUCCUGCUGCAUGGGGGGGGUUGGAAAUUUUCGGUGGUUGGGGAUGGACUCGCGGGUAAUCAGCUGGUGGGGGGGGUAGUUGCUUAUCAAGGGUUUGACGGGUGGCCGGCACGAGAGGGUAAACGGCCACAUUGGGACUGAGAGAGGGACCAGACGCGUACGGGAGGCAGCAGUGGGAAAUAUGACCCAGUGGGGGGGAGCGUGAGGAGGCAGUGCUCGGAGCGGGAUGAAGGUCUUCGGGUUGUAAAGCGCUUUAGCCUGUGACGAAGCGUGAGUGACGGUAAUGAGAGAAGAAGCACCGGCUAACUACGUG
rnacentral:rRNA from 1 species